rnacentral:rRNA from 1 species
UACAGAGGUCCCAAGCGUUGUUCGGAUUCACUGGGCGUAAAGGGUGCGUAGGCGGUCGGGUAAGUCUGUCGUGAAAUCUCCGAGCCUAACUCGGAAACUGCGUCGGAUACUAUUCGGCUAGAGGAAUGGAGGGGAGACUGGAAUUCUCGGUGUAGCAGUGAAAUGCGCAGAUAUCAGGAGGAACACCGAUGGCGAAGGCAGGUCUCUGGGCAUUAACUGACGCUGAGGAGCGAAAGCAUGGGGAGCGAACAGG